CCUACGGGUGGCAGCAGUGAGGAAUAUUGGUCAAUGGACGAGAGUCUGAACCAGCCAAGUAGCGUGAAGGAUGACUGCCCUAUGGGUUGUAAACUUCUUUUAUAUGGGAAUAAAACGUUCCACGUGUGGGCUUUUGUAUGUACCAUAUGAAUAAGGAUCGGCUAACUCCGUGCCAGCAGCCGAGGUAAUACGGAGGAUCCGAGCGUUAUCCGGAUUUAUUGGGUUUAAAGGGAGCGUAGGAGGAUUGUUAAGUCAGUUGUGAAAGUUUGGGGCUCAACCGUAAAAUUGCAGUUGAAACUGGCAGUCUGGAGUGCAGUAGAGGUGGGUGGAAUUCGUGGUGUAGGAGGGAAAUGCGUAGAUAUCACGAAGAACUCCGAUUGCGAAGGCAGUUCACUGGACUGCAACUGACACUGAGGCUCGAAAGUGUGGGUAUCAAACAGGAUUAGAUACCCGAGUAGUC
rnacentral:rRNA from 1 species